rnacentral:rRNA from 1 species
UACGUAGGGUGCGAGCGUUGCCCGGAUUUAUUGGGCGUAAAGGGCGCGUAGGCGGUGAGAUGCGUCCGUUGUGAAAACCCGGGGCUUAACCCCUGGCUUGCAGUGGAUACGGACAGACUAGAGGUAGGUAGGGGAGAAUGGAAUUCCCGGUGUAGCGGUGAAAUGCGCAGAUAUCGGGAGGAACACCGGUGGCGAAGGCGGUUCUCUGGGCCUUACCUGACGCUGAGGAGCGAAAGCGUGGGGAGCGAACAGG